rnacentral:lncRNA from 1 species
AGUAUGAGCAUGCUGGUAGCAAUGUGAUUUCAGUUCAUCUUGCAAGACUCCUGUGCUGUUUCCUGGAGAAGACAGGCUCCUGCCCUGCAAAUUGCGUUGACAUGUGCUGGUGGAGAAGAAGAACAGCUGGAGGCUAUCAUUCCUUCCUCCUUUCACCGAGACCUCCAACCUUCCUCUCGGUUUCUCACAUCUUAGCCCCGUGACUGUCUGAGUCCUCCGCCUCAAAAGAACACACAGAAGAAACAAGGUAAGAUGUGUCUUUCUUCCUAAUGCUGAGGAAGAACCAAGUGUAUAAUUCCUGAUAAUUGCAUUGUACUCUUUUUCCCGAGGGAUCUUUGAGAAGCGGGGAGGGGGCACUCUCUGCUACCAUGUAUUUGUGCAC